rnacentral:rRNA from 1 species
UUCGAGUGGCGGACGGGUGAGUAACGCGUGGGUAACCUGCCUUACACAGGGGGAUAACACCUGGAAACAGGUGCUAAUACCGCAUAAGCGCACAGGGCCGCAUGGCCCGGUGUGAAAAACUCCGGUGGUGUAAGAUGGACCCGCGUCUGAUUAGCUUGUUGGCGGGGUAGGGGCCCACCAAGGCGACGAUCAGUAGCCGGCCUGAGAGGGUGGACGGCCACAUUGGGACUGAGACACGGUCCAAACUCCUACGGAAGGCAGCAG